rnacentral:rRNA from 1 species
AGAGUUUGAUCCUGGCUCAGGACGAACGCUGGCGGCGCGCCUAACACAUGCAAGUCGAACGAGCGAGAGAGAGCUUGCUUUCUCGAGCGAGUGGCGAACGGGUGAGUAACGCGUGAGGAACCUGCCUCAAAGAGGGGGACAACAGUUGGAAACGACUGCUAAUACCGCAUAAGCCCACGGGUCGGCAUCGACCAGAGGGAAAAGGAGCAAUCCGCUUUGAGAUGGCCUCGCGUCCGAUUAGCUAGUUGGUGAGGUAACGGCCCACCAAGGCGACGAUCGGUAGCCGGACUGAGAGGUUGAACGGCCACAUUGGGACUGAGACACGGCCCAGACUCCUACGGGAGGCAGCAGUGGGGAAUAUUGCACAAUGGGGGAAACCCUGAUGCAGCGACGCCGCGUGGAGGAAGAAGGUCUUCGGAUUGUAAACUCCUGUUGUUGAGGAAGAUAAUGACGGUACUCAACAAGGAAGUGACGGCUAACUACGUGCCAGCAGCCGCGGUAAAACGUAGGUCACAAGCGUUGUCCGGAAUUACUGGGUGUAAAGGGAGCGCAGGCGGGAAGACAAGUUGGAAGUGAAAUCUAUGGGCUCAACCCAUAAACUGCUUUCAAAACUGUUUUUCUUGAGUAGUGCAGAGGUAGGCGGAAUUCCCGGUGUAGCGGUGGAAUGCGUAGAUAUCGGGAGGAACACCAGUGGCGAAGGCGGCCUACUGGGCACCAACUGACGCUGAGGCUCGAAAGUGUGGGUAGCAAACAGGAUUAGAUACCCUGGUAGUCCACACCGUAAACGAUGAUUACUAGGUGUUGGAGGAUUGACCCCUUCAGUGCCGCAGUUAACACAAUAAGUAAUCCACCUGGGGAGUACGACCGCAAGGUUGAAACUCAAAGGAAUUGACGGGGGCCCGCACAAGCAGUGGAGUAUGUGGUUUAAUUCGAAGCAACGCGAAGAACCUUACCAGGUCUUGACAUCCAACUAACGAAGUAGAGAUACAUUAGGUGCCCUUCGGGGAAAGUUGAGACAGGUGGUGCAUGGUUGUCGUCAGCUCGUGUCGUGAGAUGUUGGGUUAAGU